rnacentral:rRNA from 1 species
GAUGAACGCUGGCGGCGUGCCUAAUACAUGCAAGUCGAGCGAACAGAUGAGGAGCUUGCUCCUCUGACGUUAGCGGCGGACGGGUGAGUAACACGUGGAUAACCUACCUAUAAGACUGGGAUAACUUCGGGAAACCGGAGCUAAUACCGGAUAAUAUAUUGAACCGCAUGGUGCAAUAGUGAAAGACGGUUUUGCUGUCACUUAUAGAUGGAUCCGCGCCGCAUUAGCUAGUUGGUAAGGUAACGGCUUACCAAGGCAACGAUGCGUAGCCGACCUGAGAGGGUGAUCGGGCACACUGGAACUGAGACACGGUCCAGACUCCUACGGGAGGCAGCAGUAGGGAAUCUUCCGCAAUGGGCGAAAGCCUGACGGAGCAACGCCGCGUGAGUGAUGAAGGUCUUCGGAUCGUAAAACUCUGUUAUUAGGGAAGAACAAAUGUGUAAGUAACUAUGCACGUCUUGACGGUACCUAAUCAGAAAGCCACGGCUAACUACGUG